rnacentral:rRNA from 1 species
AUUGAACGCUGGCGGCAGGCCUAACACAUGCAAGUCGAGCGGAGCGGCGGACGGGUGAGUAAUGCCUAGGAAUCUGCCUGGUAGUGGGGGAUAACGUCCGGAAACGGGCGCUAAUACCGCAUACUAUCACCUGAGCCUAGGUCGGAUUGGCUAGCUGGUGGGGGAAAGGCCUACAAAGGCGACGAUCCGUAACUGGUCUGAGAGGAUGACCAGCCACACUGGGACUGAGACACGGCCCAGACUCCUACGGGAGGCAGCAGUGGGGAAUAUUGCGCAAGGGGGGCAACCCUGACGCAGCCAUGCCGCGUGAAUGAAGAAGGCCGUCGGGUUGUAAAGUUCUUUCGGUAGCGAGGCGUUAACUACAGAAGAAGCACCGGCUAACUCCGUGCCAGCAGCCGCGGUAAUUC